CAUUGCUGAAGCUAAGUACAUCAAUGCUUUAGAAGCUACCGCACAAGCUACUUGGUUAAGAUUUGUCCUAGAAGACUUUGGUGAAGUUCAAACUGAUGCUACACUGAAUUGUCCUAGAAGGCUAAUGCUAUAUACUUCUCCAGCUGUAUGCUAUCUCUGUCCGAUGAUCAGCACAUCUUGAAUCAAUAUUAUGCGCAGGUAUUCGGAACGCUAGUAGGAAAAAUGAGUAAGUCAGCAGAUGCAGUCGUGAGAGCUACGUGCUCUUCUGCUCUGGGUUUAUUAUUAAAAUUCUCAAAGUCAUCCUCAUGGAAAUCAGCUCGAGUUGAUCGUACGGACUCAAGUCACUCAAUACGAAAGGGCCAUGAUUUUUCAGUCUAGAAUGAAGUAGCAAGCUAUAAAGGAGAAAUUAAAUUGAUCAUCUUCAUCUGUGUGCAAGGAAACAUAUCCCUAUCUUUGAUGACUGUGAAAUGGAAUUCCCAUUGCAAGAUGCAGAACAAAGCAGCGUAGGAGAAUCGUGAAAUUCAGCAUUGACCUUCAGUAUGUAGGGUUACCGGGGCCAUAAAUUUCUCGAAUUGUUGUAAAUCAUGUCAAUUGUGUUGUAUCUUUGUAAAUCAAACAUUUACCUCAGGUCGCUUGUGUAUUUUGUGUGUUAUAGAUGUAACAUUAUUCUGGUGCACUCAAAACGUCAUCCCAGAGAUUGUAAAUUCGUGUUUUCACGUACUGUCGGUUUUACAGGUUUUAGGCAAACGAUUUGGAACUUGAACACAAAGGAGAUGUGGUUUGAGAUGUUUCAUGGUUUCUUGUUUUAAGGCAA